UCUCUUCAAGUAAAAACUCAAGUAAAAAAAGAUAGCAGCACGAACCCGAAUCCUGGUGUCAGCGUGGGACUGAAGCUAAGACAUGAAAACGAAGAUUCAGCAGAAAAAAGGAGUGGGAAAAAAGCAUCCAUCCCUAUGAGACUGACGAUCUAGAGCUCAUUAACAAUUCUGCUUCCAAAGUGUACGACUGGAGUGAAAAAAACUUCAAAAAUGAGUAAAUUGAAAGUUUAAAAAAUAGUGAAGGUGAAAAAUAAAAAGUUCUAAUGUGAGAUCGUAAUUCAUUCCUAGUUUUUUCGUUCUAGCUCUGUACUAUGACGAUUAUGUGUCACCAUCGGACCCUUUACCUCAUGUGAAAUUGAGGGUUUAUGUGACGGAUGGCGUAAGGUGGGUGGAAUUGGUGUAUGACAAUACCAUCCACGAUCAUUACCAUCAUCAUCAACGAGAUUGGACGAGGGUGCAGCGAUAUCAUCGGGGAGCGACGGAGAUCGAGCAUCGGGAGAACGCCGCACGUUCUCGAGCCCUGAAGAAAAGAAGGGAUGCGAAAAAGCUCCUCAAGCGAAAAACUGAACCGUCCUCGUGGAUCGACGUGACAUUUCCAAAAAGAAGUAGAAGUGAUGUGGACCACGUGGAACGGGAGGAAAAAAGAAAUUGAAAUGGACCCAUCGAUUUCGAAUCUCCACGCCUUCCAAACCUACGACGAUUGGAGAAUGAGUUCAAGAGAGUGGCUAUUCUGGAAAGCGAUAAAGAAGCAGAAGAAGACCCGAGAAAGAAGAAGAAGCGGAACGA